UUCAAUCAUAGUUAAUAAAAAUUUACCUAGAAGCUAGAAGAAGCCUUCAACAGAGCAUGCAAAAGGGAGAUAGAGACACCGCGUGACCAAGACAGUGGUGGAGUACCUUCGAACGGGCUUCGAACUAGGACAGUGGUUGCGGAGAACAGAGAUAGUGCCGGCGGCGGCGUGGCUGCGCGAGGGAGGAAGGUUGCGAUGGCUGCACGAUGGGAGAUAGAGACACCGAGUGACCAAGACAGUGGUGGAGUACCUUCGAACGGGCUUCGAACUGGGACAGUGGUUGCGGAGAACAGAGAUAGUACCGGCGGCGGUAUGGCUGCGCGACGGAGGAAGGUUGCGAUUUCUGCGCGAUGGAAGGGAAGGUUGAUAUCGAUGGCUGCUGUGUGAUGGAGGGAAGGUGAGCGAGCAGACGGUGGCUGUUGGAAGGAACGACGGCGGCGGCACGAGGCGGUGGCUGGACGGAGGUAAGGGAACGGCCAGGAGCU
rnacentral:lncRNA from 1 species